rnacentral:rRNA from 1 species
UGGAGAGUUUGAUCCUGGCUCAGGAUGAACGCUAGCGAUAGGCUUAACACAUGCAAGUCGAGGGGCAGCAUGAUCUUAGCUUGCUAAGGUUGAUGGCGACCGGCGCACGGGUGCGUAACGCGUAUGCAACUUGCCUUACAGAGGGGGAUAACCCGUUGAAAGACGGACUAAAACCGCAUACACUUGUAUUAUUGCAUGAUAUUACAAGGAAAUAUUUAUAGCUGUAAGAUAGGCAUGCGUCCCAUUAGCUUGUUGGUGAGGUAACGGCUCACCAAGGCGACGAUGGGUAGGGGAACUGAGAGGUUUAUCCCCCACACUGGUACUGAGACACGGACCAGACUCCUACGGGAGGCAGCAGUGAGGAAUAUUGGUCAAUGGGCGAGAGCCUGAACCAGCCAAGUCGCGUGAAGGAAGACAGUCCUAAGGAUUGUAAACUUCUUUUAUACGGGAAUAACGGGCGAUACGAGUAUUGCAUUGAAUGUACCGUAAGAAUAAGCAUCGGCUAACUCCGUGCCAGCAGCCGCGGUAAUACGGAGGAUGCGAGCGUUAUCCGGAUUUAUUGGGUUUAAAGGGUGCGUAGGUUGUUCGGUAAGUCAGCGGUGAAACCUGAGCGCUCAACGUUCAGCCUGCCGUUGAAACUGCCGGGCUUGAGUUCAGUGGCGGCAGGCGGAAUUCGUGGUGUAGCGGUGAAAUGCAUAGAUAUCACGAGGAACUCCGAUUGCGAAGGCAGCUUGCCAUACUGCGACUGACACUGAAGCACGAAGGCGUGGGUAUCAAACAGGAUUAGAUACCCUGGUAGUCCACGCAGUAAACGAUGAUUACUAGGAGUUUGCGAUAUACCGUCAAGCUUCCACAGCGAAAGCGUUAAGUAAUCCACCUGGGGAGUACGCCGGCAACGGUGAAACUCAAAGGAAUUGACGGGGGCCCGCACAAGCGGAGGAACAUGUGGUUUAAUUCGAUGAUACGCGAGGAACCUUACCCGGGCUUGAACCAGGAGUGAGGAGUGCAGAGAUGCACUUUUUCUUCGGACACUUUUGGAGGUGCUGCAUGGUUGUCGUCAGCUCGUGCCGUGAGGUGUCGGCUUAAGUGCCAUAACGAGCGCAACCCCUUUCUUCAGUUGCCAUCAGGUUAUGCUGGGCACUCUGGAGACACUGCCACCGUAAGGUGUGAGGAAGGUGGGGAUGACGUCAAAUCAGCACGGCCCUUACGUCCGGGGCUACACACGUGUUACAAUGGCCGGUACAGAGGGAAGGUGCAAUGCAAGUUGCAUCCAAUCUUGAAAUCCGGUCCCAGUUCGGACUGGGGUCUGCAACCCGACUCCACGAAGCUGGAUUCGCUAGUAAUCGCGCAUCAGCCAUGGCGCGGUGAAUACGUUCCCGGGCCUUGUACACACCGCCCGUCAAGCCAUGGGAGUCGGGGGUACCUGAAGGGCGUAACCGCAAGGGGCGCACUAGGGUAAUACCGGUGACUGGGGCUAAGUCGUAACAAGGUAGCCGUACCGGAAGGUGCGGCUGGAACACCUCCUU